CCAACCCAAAAAGCUUUUCCCACUGAGAGUAGGGAAGAUUCAAACAAGGGGACAUGACUUGAGAAUUAAGGGACUGAAGUUUAGGGGUAACAUGAGGGGGAACUUCUUUACUCAGAGAGUGGUGGCUGUGUGGAAUGAGCUUCCAGUGAAGGUGGUGGAGGCAGGUUCGUUUUUAUCAUUUAAAAAUAAAUUGGAUAGUUAUAUGGAUGGGAAGGGAAUGGAAUGGAGGGUUAUGGUCUGAGCGCAGGUAUGUGGGACUAGGGGAGAUUAUGUGUUCGGCACGGACUAGAAGGGUAGAGAUGGCCUGUUUCCGUGCUGUAAUUGUUAUAUGGUUAUUUAUAUGGUAAUAUGAAACUGAAGUCACACCUUAUGAAACUGAAUUCACACUUCAAAUGCUAAAUGUUGCUUGGCAAUAUAUUCAACAUUUGGUCCUACUUGUCUAAACAGGACACUGGUCACUGACUCACCAGCAGGCGUGUGCUGUGUUCCAAAUGGCAGGGGUCUCGGCUAAUAUUAAGGUCAGCGCUAGAUGAGGUUUCUGGGGCAGAAAAAGCUCCAAGGAUUCCUUAUGGAACCUGGAGAAAUAGUCUAGAACCACAAAAAUAAUUUUAAUAAUUUAGGCCUCUGAGAUGCAAUCCUGUUUGCAGCCUGUGUUCACUGAUGGACAAUGAUCUGUACUUUGUGUCCCGAACUACAUCAGAUUAAUGAGUCUCCUAACCCCAUUCCCUGACCUGCAUGGUUAAAAUCACAAUGGGCCGGGAACAAACUGAAAAUUUAAUGGAGGAUGUCUGAUCACUAUUACAACUACGAUCCUGGCCCCUGACCACGGGUCUCCGUUCAACACAAGUCCAGGAAGGUUACACUCUCACGAAUGAGGGAGGACACAUACCCUACACAUCAAGUAGGCAGGCAGAACUAUCAUUUAACAUCCCAAACAGGAUGGCACGGUGGCUCAGUGGUGGAGCUAUUGCCUUACGGCGCCAGAUACCCGGGUUCGAUCCUGACCACGGGUGCCUGCCUGUAUGGAGUUUGUACGUUCUCCCCGUAACCGCAUAGGUUUUAUCCGAGAUGGUUCAGUUUCCUCCCACACUCCAAAGAUGUGCAGGUUUGGCUAAUUGGCUUGGUGUAAAUGUAAAAUUGUCCCUAGUAUGAGUAGGAUAGCUUUAGUGUGCGGGGAUCGCUGGUCGGUGCGGACUCGGUGGGCCUAAGGGCCAGUUUCCACAUUGUAUCUCUAAACUAAAAACAAAACAAAAUCCCAUUUGAAAGCCGGCAUCACCAACAGCAAAUGCCCGAUGACUUUCUGAAUUUCUAGAGUGGGACUAGUACCUCCUGACACAGAGAGAGUGCCACCAACAUGCCAAGGCUUAGGGAAAGUAUUAUUUGAUCAUAUGAAGUGAAGAGGAUUAGCAUCUCAAAGAGGUCCCUUAAUCAUGUUGUGAAGAUUGUUGCUAGAUAUACGUUUGUUUGAAGUUGCUGGGCUCAAACUUUGAAAAUUACCUCAGUAAUUACAUCGAGUUAGAAUUGAAUAAUUGGCUUUAAUAGAUGUCAGGAACUUUUAACCGGCUUUCAGAAUGAAUCCAAUUAUUUUCUGCAUGGUUUCACACUGACGUUUCUCAUGACUGUACCGCUGUGCUCGACACUGGGUGUAAUGUUCCCACUGUUGAUGAAAUCUUUGUCUCUACUCAUGAGUCUGUCCCCCAAUGACAUCAACGGGAGAAGACUGGAGUUUGCCUUCGAAAGCUCAAAGCUUGCCCUUGCUUUUGAAAAUCGCUGCCCAAUUACGCAAACAGAUGGAAGUUUAAAGUGAACUCCGAUUAAAUUAAACUAAAACAGGAGUCAAGGAGUGUGAGAAGGCGGAUCGCAGUAUCACGUUAACACCUGGAGCUUUAACAUUUGGAGAUCUAGUUCACCCACUCAUUUCAAGCCAGUUCAGUGCAAACUGACCAAAAGUAAGAAAGAAAUAUUGGGCCAUUCUUUGGAAAGUGAACCAAAAUGUCACAAACGUGACCAGAUCACAUAAUGUAAUACAUUAAAAAUCUUCUUGUAAGAGAUUCAUCUUAUUCAUUGCUAUUUUUCUACCUAUAGAACGAUAAUGCAUGUCUGCUGAAGAUAUGCAUUGAGUUGAGGGACCAUGCCUCCUGUAGGGGCUACGUGUUAGUGGUGCAAUAUUGCAUUGGGAAACGGGUUGCGUGGGGGACCCAACGAGUCCCAGUUGGUCUAGUCUUAUAUUACUAAAACUCUGUUCUUGACCGCUUUUGGUGAUCUGUGCUGCGAUUUCCGAGAGAACGCCGCCACCUAUGGCCGUCAUUUUUGGCCACCUCGCUCAGAGCCCCCCUCUGCCACAUGUGUGCCGAGGAUUUUUCCCGUCAAUGAAAUAUGACCGAGAUAUUAAUGUUUUUACAACAUUCCCCAUUCUCUCUACUGCCCCCGCUGGCAGCAGGGGGAGGGAGGGGCUAUAAAACCCGGAAGUGUCCUGCUUCAAUCCCUUUCUGCUGGACCACGAAGUGAAAGGGUCACGGCUCUCUGAGCUGCAGCUCUACUCCAAGAUGGCGGCGAUGACGUAAUUUCCAGUGAUCGGUAAGCCGACGGCGAUGACGUCAUUUCCGGUGAUCUGUGACCCAGCAGCGAUGCUGUCAUUUCCGGUCGGAGGCGAGAUGGCGGCAAUGACGUCAUUUCCGGUCGGAGGCGAGAUGGCGCUGCCCGCAGAGUGCACGAGGUGUUGAAAAAUUCUACAGAACUGGCUGAUUUUUCAACAUCAUGUCAGGAAAUGUUAGAGGUCAAGGUGAUGUGGCUAUUGCUGUAGUAUCCCCUAGGAGAGCAGCUACAUUUCUGCCUGGUGGAAGAACUACACAUUCUCGAUUGAAGAUACCCAUCCAAGUGGCCGAGGAUACAUUGUGCAACAUCGAGAAGAACUCUAAGACGGCACAUUUCACGAGGCAAGUGAAAGUCAUUGUUUGGGAUGAACGUUCAAUGAUUAGGAGAGAAUGCCUUGAUGUGCCAAAAGCAAAAUGCCUUUGACCCAACAUACUAGCUCAACAGAAAUAUGAAGGGAAAUGUCAAAGGUUUCCUGAAGGAUGGAACAUCGCCCAAGAAUGUUGUCAUUAAUAGCGUGCUUCGUUGAAUGAUGACUUCUGAGAUAAAUUCUCAGAUUUUCCUUCUUAAAAUUUGACUGCUGACUUUCUCUAUAUUAAAAUGCCUCUUUUUAUCAACAGGAAAUAGUCAUCAAGAGGCAGUGAGCAGCAGAACACAACAUUCACAUUUUAAACUUUAAUAAACCCUUUUUGCAC